rnacentral:rRNA from 1 species
CAGUCGAACGAGCGAGAGAGAGCUUGCUUUCUCGAGCGAGUGGCGAACGGGCGUGUAACGCGUGAGGAACCUGCCUCAAAGAGGGGGACAACAGUUGGAAACGACUGCUAAUACCGCAUAAGCCCACAGGUCGGCAUCGACCAGAGGGAAAAGGAGCAAUCCGCUUUGAGAUGGCCUCGCGUCCGAUUAGCUAGUUGGUGAGGUAAUGGCCCACCAAGGCAACGAUCGGUAGCCGGACUGAGAGGUUGAACGGCCACAUUGGGACUGAGACACGGCCCAGACUCCUACGGGAGGCAGCAGUGGGGAAUAUUGCACAAUGGGGGAAACCCUGAUGCAGCGACGCCGCGUGGAGGAAGAAGGUCUUCGGAUUGUAAACUCCUGUUGUUGAGGAAGAUAAUGACGGUACUCAACAAGGAAGUGACGGCUAACUACGUGCCAGCAGCCGCGGUAAAACGUAGGUCACAAGCGUUGUCCGGAAUUACUGGGUGUAAAGGGAGCGCAGGCGGGAAGACAAGUUGGAAGUGAAAUCUAUGGGCUCAACCCAUAAACUGCUUUCAAAACUGUUUUUCUUGAGUAGUGCAGAGGUAGGCGGAAUUCCCGGUGUAGCGGUGGAAUGCGUAGAUAUCGGGAGGAACACCAGUGGCGAAGGCGGCCUACUGGGCACCAACUGACGCUGAGGCUCGAAAGUGUGGGUAGCAAACAGGAUUAGAUACCCUGGUAGUCCACACCGUANACGAUGAUUACUAGGUGUUGGAGGNUUGACCCCUUCAGU